UCGCUCCGCUGCUUUGCCGAGCGAGCAGAGCAGGGACGCUCGCUCGAGUGUCGCUGUGCUGCUCUGCCGAGCGAGCAGAGCAUCGA
rnacentral:pre_miRNA from 1 species